rnacentral:lncRNA from 1 species
AACCGCAGAGUUUAGCAGUCGUAGCUGUCUCAGAGUUAGAGGUAGCCCAGAGUUAGCCAAGUAGAGGCUAUAGGUGAGUGGAACUAACUGUGCGAUUUUACAUUCAGAAAUGACACGAAUCUAGCAUGAUCCAUGCAUCAUAAAAUGCCAUGUUAUGUAUUAGGUUGUAUUGCAUUAGAAUCCACGAAUAUGCUGCAUUGCAUAAGAUGAUAUUUGUGUGGAUGAAUGUUGGAUGAUCCUUAGCCCUUGAUAGAGCACAGAUACAGAGUUAUGGCAUGAGAUAGCCAUACCAGGUCGCCCCUGGAUAGUCCAGGUCGCUCCUGGUACUAUGAGUGAGACAGCUGGGCUGUCAGAUCAGAGCUCAGAGCAGUCCAGGUGAGGCCUAAUCGCCCCUGGCACAGUUGGACAUGUUAUGAUAUGAGUUACUUCAGAGUAGUCCAGGUGAGGCCUAAUCGCCCCUGGCACAGUUGGACAUACUAUUACGUAUGUAGAGGGCUAUGGUGACAAGUUCAUCCUUGAGAUGAUAUGUUUGUGAUGUGAUGCAUUUCAUGAGAGCAUGUAAUUAAUGAACUGUUUUUAUUGUUCCUCCUCACUGGGCUCUAGAGCUCAUCCCACUCCCUUUACCCCAGUUUUGCAGGUUCUGAGAUAGCUAGGAGAAGUCAAAGUCAGCAAGAGUACAGAGGACAGUUAUGCAUGAAUGUAUGUUGUAAUAGGAUAGUGGACAUGAUGUAAUUGAAAGAUUAGUUGUAAUGUAAUAGAUAGAUAUGUACUGUCAUAUACUGGAUAGACUUAUGCUUUCCCUAGUGUCACUGCUAUAGUGUGAUGUAUGAUUCAUCCCUUGUACACAAUCCUGUUUUACGUUUCUUGAUGAGAAAUGUGUGAGUUAG